GCCUCUUUAGCUCAGUUGGUUCAGAGCGUUCGGCUUUUAACCGAAAUGUCGUGGGUUCGACCCCCACAAGGGGCG
rnacentral:tRNA from 2 species